GUCAGCAGAUGCGGAAUCAAGCGCGCUGGUGGGUUCGUCGAGGAUCAGUGCACGGGAUGGCGACACAAGGGCCCGUGCAA
rnacentral:sRNA from 1 species